UUAAACUCUAGAUGUUGCAGGAUUUACAUUUCCUACUGUUUUCCUCUAUAUUUAAAGUAUAUCCCUUGAAACCCUUCGAUACACUCCCCUGUGCCUCAUUUCUUAUAAUACUUUCUCUCUGAUACUGAAUGGCCUUUGGAUAAACAGUGUGUUUAUAUUUCACACUGAUAUGAAUUAGCAAAUUUGAAACAGUGAGCAGUGAAAAAUAUUAUUAAGGUCUCACUUUAUGCAUAUACAUUGAAAUAAUUUUAAUUCCCCUCACUAGAAACUGUUGAUUGUGCAUUAAACAGUAAGUUGGAUGUAAGAAAUGUAUUUCAUUUGCCUAGGUUUACAUGCACUCAGACUAUUAUUUCCCUCAUUACAUU
rnacentral:lncRNA from 1 species